CGGGGCGUCAUAGAGGGUGAGAAUCCCGUAUGUGGCCGGCGGUCAAUUCCAUGUGAAACCCCUUCGACGAGUCGAGUUGUUUGGGAAUGCAGCUCAAAAUGGGUGGUAAAUUUCAUCUAAAGCUAAAUACCGGCCAGAGACCGAUAGCGCACAAGUAGAGUGAUCGAAAGAUGAAAAGCACUUUGGAAAGAGAGUUAAACAGUACGUGAAAUUGUUGAAAGGGAAGCGCUUGCAACCAGACUUGCUCGCGGGUGAUCAGCCUCCCGUGAGGGGGGCGCACUCGCCCGCGAUCAGGCCAGCAUCGGUUUUGGCGGGCGGAUAAAGUCCCCAGGAAUGUAGCUCCCCUCGGGGAGUGUUAUAGCCUGGGGCGGAAUGCGCUCAACCGGGACCGAGGACCGCGCUUCGGCUAGGAUGCUGGCGUAAUGGUUGUAAGCGACCCGUCUUGAAACACGG
rnacentral:rRNA from 1 species